AACCUGCCCAAGAGAUCGGGAUAACACCUGGAAACAGAUGCUAAUACCGGAUAACAACAGAUGAUGCUUAUCAACUGUUUAAAAGAUGGUUCUGCUAUCACUCUUGGAUGGACCUGCGGUGCAUUAGCUAGUUGGUAGGGUAACGGCCUACCAAGGCGAUGAUGCAUAGCCGAGUUGAGAGACUGAUCGGCCACAUUGGGACUGAGACGCGGCCCAAACUCCUACGGGAGGCAGCAGGG
rnacentral:rRNA from 1 species